AUAUCUGGUUUCUUAAAAAAUAAAUUUAAUUUAUAUUAAAAGUUGAAAUUUCUUACUUUUAAUAGUAGAGCAUUAAGGUAGAGCUUAGUUCUCAAAUAUGAAUAAUUUAUAAGAUUUUAUCAGUUAAUUUGACUUAAAUAGGCUUUAAUAGUAGCCAAUUUUUCACAGUGUUUCAACUUAAGUCAAUAAAAUUAUUAUUUAAUUAUCUUUAGGUUAAUAUUAAGAGAUUUAUUUUAACUAAAAAAGUAAAGCUUUUAUGAAAUUAUUAGUAAAAAUUUUUAUUAAAAUUUUUGAUUUUAUUUUUUAUAAAUUUUAUAUUUAAAUAAAACUAUAUUUAAAGAACUCGGCAAAAUUAUUCUCGCCUGUUUAACAAAAACAUGUCCAAAUGAAGAAAUAUUUGGUCUAAUCUGCCCGGUGAAAAAAUUUAACGGCCGCGGUACUUCUGACUGUGCCAAGGUAGCAU
rnacentral:rRNA from 1 species